GAGGGCACAGUGGCGUGUGCCUGUGGUCCCAGCUACUCAGUACUCAGGAGGCUGAAGGAUUGCUUGUGACCAGGAAUCUGGGCUGUAGUGCACUACGCAAUUGAGUGUCCACACUAAUUUCAGCAUCAGUAUGGUGAUCUCCCAGAAGCAGGAGACCACCAAGUUGCCUAAGGAGGAGUGAACCAGGCCAGGUUAGAAACAGUGCAGUUAAAACUCCCUUGCUGAUCAGUAGUGGGAUCAUCCCUGUCAAUCAUCCCUGGAGUGUACUCCAGCCUCGGCAACAUAAUGAGACCCCGUCUCCA
rnacentral:SRP_RNA from 1 species